UGGGGAAUAUUGGACAAUGGGCGAAAGCCUGAUCCAGCGACGCCGCGUGGGUGAAGAAGGCCUGCGGGUUGUAAAGCCCUUUCGGUGGGGAUGAAAAGCCUUGACCUAACACGUCAGGGUCUUGACCUAACCCAAGAAAGAAGCACCGGCUAACUCUGUGCCAGCAGCCGCGGUAAUACAGAGGGUGCGAGCGUUAAUCGGAAUUACUGGGCGUAAAGCGCGCGUAGGUGGCUUUGCAAGUCGAUUGUGAAAUCCCCGGGCUCAACCUGGGAACUGCAGUCGAGACUGUAUUGCUAGAGUAUGGGAGAGGGAGGUGGAAUUUCCGGUGUAGCGGUGAAAUGCGUAGAUAUCGGAAGGAACAUCAGUGGCGAAAGCGACCUCCUGGACCAAUACUGACACUCAAGUGCGAAAGCGUGGGGAGCAAACAGGAUUAGAUACCCCCGUAGUCC
rnacentral:rRNA from 1 species